GGCGAAGGGUUUAACACCAUAAAACUCACUUUGUAAAAGUGCAACAGCUGUGAUAAAUAAGCUUAAGCCUCAGUAAUCACUUUUUCACUUUUACCAAUUACGCUAGGCUGCUUUGUGACAGAAGUUAAUACCAAGGAAGAAUUUUAAAGAAGCCUCAUUUUCCUUGUCUAAUUAAAUUAAAUACUUGAAAGGUGAUUCACAUGUUGAUUCCCCCCUCCAUUAGUCAACUGAAAAUUACAGGAUCUUUUAGGAGCUGGAGCCCCGUGACUGCCCUGCUCAGCCUCCAGGGUCAGGGAGCCCUCACCCCUGGACACUCUCCUGCCUGCAUCCCAGCCACCUGUUUUUGUGUGCAGCUGUCCGUGGUGGGGCUCUUGGGCCACCACUGCACAGGAGAAUUUACGGAGCGCAUGCUUGUUAGUUUUUAAUCCUUCCACAAAAAGGCACGAGAUGCCUUUGUUUCCAGGUGUUUAAUAUUCCUACCACACGGCAGGUCUCUCUAUACCGAGAAACCAGGACAGCCUCGUCCUUGCCGUCUGUCUGUGUUGUAAACUCGUAAGAGAAUUCACCUGGAUUGAGAGUUCCUCAAGUCAAAGUCUCUAGUCUUCCUUCAAGGUGACAAUCUGGAUAAUUUAAAUACAGUAGAUCCUGGCAGUUUAUUUCAACAGUGCCACCCAGAUGCUGUACUUUGAAACUUGAAAUGGUUUUCUUUAUUUUCUAGUUUUACACUGUGCUUCCUGCUCCUUUUUUCUGAGAUAGCACAUAUGCAUGUGUAGAAAGUGUAGCAUGCUCCACACUGGUAUUUUCUUGAACACAUAAUGGGCCCUGGGGCAUCAGGGAGCCUGGCUGGUGGCAUUGAGUGUGGGUGAGCUUGCUUACCCAAAAGUUUGAAGAGUCCUCACCGGUAAAGUGACUAUCUGGUGUAAGUUUUCAUGAUUGGAUCAAAUUACCAGUUUUCAUGCUACAUUUCCAGGUUGUCUCUCCUGAUGUAUACAAUAAUUUUGUGUGUGUUUCAAAAAGUCCUUGGUAUUUCAAAAUGAGUGUACACCCUUAAAAUGUAAACAAUAAAUAUGUAUUAAGUAAGAACUGGAAGUCCUUUCUCUUUUCCUCCCAGUGGUAACUAUGCAGUAUGAAUUCUAACAGGUCUUUCCCUAUGAAUUUAGUUUUACAAAAAUGAUCUCUCUGCAGUUUAUCUCUACUCAUAGAGACCCUUUCAUGUUACCAUGUUUGGAUGUAUAGAUGUACCUAAUUCUUGUUAAUGGCUUAAUAACAUUCUGCAUUCAAUUUUUUUCCUUUU
rnacentral:lncRNA from 1 species